CCCGGGCAGGUCCUCAACUCACAGCAACCUCUGUGCCUCGAUCUUCGUUUUACCGGGGUUUCAAGUGGAAGGCUAUUAACCAAACAGUGCUUUAUCCUGAUUUCAUUACGGCACAUUGAAAUGAAUACAAAAUUUAAGCUGAAGACACAGAUUAACUCGUCAUCCUAAGGCCAUCAUUGCUGUUGGAUUCUCGGACAAAACCUGACAAGACACGUACCCUCCACGUGGGGGCAGAUAUCCUGGUGAGGCCACACCUGCAGCAAAGGUGGCCAUCCCCUGAGAGCCACCUGCCCCCUCAGGUAGAGAUUUCUUCAGAACACCUGCUGGACCAGUGCUGCAGUGACGUGGGGGACCACACACCGCCCAGGACUGCUUCAAACCCAGGACUACCACACCAGAGACAGCUCCACUCACAUUGGGCCAGGCCUUCCCCGACCAACCACUAAUCAAGAAAAUCUCCAGUACUCUUGCCUGCACCUGAGCUGAUGGAGGAUUUUUUUUUUCAAUAGAAGCUUCUUCCUCUUUAAUGAC